CUUUGGUAAGGAUUUUUUCCCAUGAUGCCCUUUUGGAGGUAGCACUGGGAGAUUACAAGGAAGAGGGAAGCAGCUGUAGCCCCACCAUUUUGUAGCUGGCUAUUCCUUGUUCUUUCUCUCUCUCUCUUGUCUUCUUUCAGAAAUGAACUGCAUUGAUCCUGGUUUUGGAGAUCAGUCAUUGUGGUAAACAGCAAGGCUCCAUGAUUUAUGACUAGGCCUGCUGAUAGUACCUUAGAGAUGUCUAACCACCUGCAGAUUGAGAACUGGCUUUAGGAACUAGGGAUUCAAACAUUUCAGGUAAAGCUCUCCCAGACACUCUCAUUUGUGAGAUGAAAGCAAUCAUAAUGAGAAAGUGAUCACAGUCAAAUAAAUAAGAAAACUGAUAACUGCCCAGUUCAUGAUAAACAGAUUUUUCUGGUCUUAGAAUUAUUCUUUUCAGUAUAUUCAUUAACUCCUUGGACAAGAGGCACAAGUGCAAGAUUUCUAACACCACAGACAAUGAUGUGAAAUUUCUCAGAACAGACCAGAAUUGAUGGAAGAGCUUUCAGUAAGAUUUUUCAAAACAACCAAAUGUGCCACUGCGCCGCUGACUCUCAGUAUGAUUUCAUACCAGCCAUGCUAUGAGCAUAAAGGUACACUGUUGAAAAAACAGCCUGCCCUUGACAAGGUCAAUCCAUUGUGGACAUUACCUUGCCUAGGAAGAACGUGGGACACCUUGGAGAGGACCGUCAGUGUAAGAGAUCCAUCAAGAUCAUCAACUUUGAAUGAGACUCUGUGAUUGGCCCACCUCAGGGGACAAUGGUUUUCUUUACAUGGGACUUGCAUGGCUGGAGUUGGAAGUGACUGCGGCGAUAACUUUGUCUUUGCAAUUUUCCCUUUUUCAGUCUGUUUGAAUCUGUCUUGUGUCACUGAUCUUUGGUCUAUUGCACUUAUCAUCAAAAGUUUUUCUCUUCCGUUUUUCCCUUGGCUGGCUCAGUCAGAUCAUACAGAAUGAAUUUUUGAAGAAGAGAAAAAACUUCCAGUCUCUGGAAUGUUAAAAAAAAAUGAAAGCACUUAGAACGAUUAUAUGUUGUUUGCAGUUUUGUCCCCCUCCUCCUUUCUGAGGUGGAAAUGCUGCUAGCAUCCUCUGUGGGGAAGAAGCAUGCCAAACAGUGGAACAUGUGAGACAGGAUAGUUCUCUGCAUCUUCCUUAGUGGGCUGACAUGCUGGCAAGGAGCAACAUAAAAAUCACUCAGCUCCUCUUCCAUCUCACUGGGUCUGCACGGGGGAUGUUGAGCGUAACUAGGGGGAAGUGUCAAGCAAGGCAUUGUGCUCUCAAUAGGAUGUUGCUGUUACAGAUAAUUCUUUUAGUAACUUAUUUUUGUUUACCCCUGGGCAGAGGACCAGUGCAAGAAUUAUGCACCACUUAAACAGCUUGUAAGCCCUCAAAAAAAAAAAGGGAGGACUUAAGUAGCACAUAAGUCUUGAGCUGGCCCUCUGCAUAGGAGAUGUUUACCUUCAAUGUACAGAAUAGGAGGGCAAGGCAAAGAUAAGGUGCUAUUACCUUUUUGGGGGUGGUAUGAAGGAAUUCCUGAUCUUGACAUUGCUACUCCCAGAGAGAAGAUAGGAGGAGUCAGUCUUGCUACAUCCAGAUGCUCCUUUCUGAGAGUUAAGAUACAUGGCUUUCCAGAGGGCCCGACAGCCCGUCCAUACUCACCAGUGCCCCCUACAGUUGCUGGGGACAAGGAGGGCCUCCAGUGAUGGAGAAGUUAUCAGACAGCUAAAGACCAGGACCUUCACACUGCUAUACAACCUGGCUUUCAUUUUUAGACUAAGAAUAAAAAGGACAUCCCAAACUAACCAGACAAUAUAAAUCUUGUAUUAUAACAUGACCUUUAAUACACUGAUGGAUGACUUUUAAAAAUGCCUUCUUAUUAUGUAAUUCUAACUACAUGCUUUAGAAAAAGAAAUAUGCACCUCUGUUCUUUAAAUAUAACUAUAAAGCAAAUGACUACUUUACCAUUAAGAACUGGUUUACACAGUCAUGAAAAUAGCCAAAUAAAAUAAAAAUCUGAGCCAAGUUAUUUAAGGCUCAGGGAGAGAUCUGGCAUUCAAAGUCUGUCACCAGGUUUGAGAAGUCUAGUUAUACUAACAUAACUGAUUCCUGAAGAUAUUUUGCAGUGUGUUUCAUUGUGAUAUUUUCAUUGGGCUUUUUGUUAACUACCAGCCCAAAUACAGAUUUAACCCCACUG